AAAGCAGGGGAUCGUAAGACCUUGCGCUUUUGGAGUGGCCGAUGCCUGAUUAGCUAGUUGGUGGGGUAAAGGCCUACCAAGGCGACGAUCAGUAGUUGGUCUGAGAGGACGACCAGCCACACUGGGACUGAGACACGGCCCAGACUCCUACGGGAGGCAGCAGUGGGGAAUUUUGGACAAUGGGCGAAAGCCUGAUCCAGCAAUGCCGCGUGAGUGAAGAAGGCCUUCGGGUUGUAAAGCUCUUUCAGUCGAGAAGAAAAGGUUGUGACUAAUAAUCACAACUUAUGACGGUACCGACAGAAGAAGCACCGGCUAACUACGUGCCAGCAGCCGCGGUAAUACGUAGGGUGCGAGCGUUAAUCGGAAUUACUGGGCGUAAAGGGUGCGCAGGCGGCUUUGUAAGUCAGAUGUGAAAUCCCCGGGCUUAACCUGGGAAUUGCGUUUGAAACUACAAAGCUAGA
rnacentral:rRNA from 1 species